rnacentral:misc_RNA from 1 species
CCAGAGUUGAAAAACUCCCUAAAACACUUGUGAACCUACCCGUUAUCGUUGCUUCGGCGGGCGGCCCCAGGGGGGGCCUCUGCCCCUCGCGGGCGCCCGCCGGAGGUACCAAACUCUGUCUAUUGUCUGAUUCUCUGAGAAAAACACAAAACAAGUCA